UCAGGCCUAACACAUGCAAGUCGUACGAGGUGUAAAUAAUUCACUUGUGAAUUGUUUAUUACCACAGUGGCGCACGGGUGAGUAACACGUAAGAACCUGCCUUUUGGAGGGGGAUAACAUAGGGAAACCUUUGCUAAUACCCCAUAAAGCUGAGGAGCUAAAUCGCAUUUGCGGCCAAGAGAGGGGCUUGCGCCUGAUUAGCUAGUUGGGGAGGUAAUGGCUUCCCAAGGCCACGAUCAGUAGUUGGUCUGAGAGGAUGAUCAGCCACACUGGGACUGAGACACGGCCCAGACUCCUACGGGAGGCAGCAGUGAGGAAUUUUCCGCAAUGGGCGAAAGCCUGACGGAGCAAUACCGCGGAAGGAAGAGGGAUCGUGGUCUGUAAACUUCUUUUCUCGAGAAGAAGAU
rnacentral:rRNA from 1 species